AUGAGAGUUCAAGAGUACGUGAAACUGUGUAGUGGUAAACGGAGGGGUUUCUCGAAGUUUGUACUGGAGGUUCAGGUUGACGUUAGCGCAGCAAUUGUGUUGGAGUGUCGCAAGAUCUCUGCAUUACUGUCAGUGUUAUUGGCGACUGCACUUCUCCGGUCCUUCACACGACGAACCGUUUGCAUCAGACCGAAUACAUUGGAGAAGUUCGUUCCUUGUGUUCGAGCCCUGUGUUCUUGGUCUUGAAGCCGACGGGUAAAUGAGCAAGCAUGUUUGACAUGUUCUGCAUCUCUGUCGUGAGUAGGUUGGUGGCCCCUCCGACCCGUCUUGAAACACGGACC
rnacentral:rRNA from 1 species